CACGUAGGGGGCAAGCGUUGUUCGGAAUUAUUGGGCGUAAAGGGCAUGUAGGCGGUUUAGCAAGCCUGGCGUGAAAUCCCGUAGCUUAACUACGGAAUCGCGUUGGGAACUGCUAGACUUGAAUCGUGGAGGGGGAGCUAGAAUUCCAGGUGUAGGGGUGAAAUCUGUAGAUAUCUGGAAGAAUACCGGUGGCGAAGGCGAGCUCCCGGCCAAUGAUUGACGCUGAGGUGCGAAAGCGUGGGGAUCAAACAGGAUUAGAGACCCUGGUAGUCCACGCCAUCAACGAUGUGCACUGGGUGUUGGAGCAGAAGCUUCAGUGCCGUAGCAAACGCGAUAAGUGCACCGCCUGGGGAGUAUGCCCGCAAGGGUGAA
rnacentral:rRNA from 1 species